rnacentral:rRNA from 1 species
AACGAACGCUGGCGGCAGGCCUAACACAUGCAAGUCGAGCGGACCCUUCGGGGUUAGCGGCGGACGGGGGAGGAACGCGUGGGAACGUGCCCGUUGCUUCGGGAUAGCCCUGGGAAACUGGGAGUAAUACCGGAUACGCCCUGCUGGGGCAAGAUAUAUCGUCGAAGUGUCGGCGCGGGUUGGUUUAGGUAGUUGGUGGUGUAAUGGCCUACCACGGCGACGAUCCAUAGCUGGGUUGAGAGGAUGAUCAGCCACACUGGGACUGAGACACGGCCCAGACUCCUACGGGAGGCAGCAGUGGGGAAUCUUAGACAAUCGGGGAAACCAUGAUCGAGCCAUGCCGCGUGAGCGAUGAAGGCCUUAGGGUUGUAAAGCUCUUUAAUCGGGGAAGAUAAUGACGGUACCCGGAGAAGAAGCCCCGGCUAACUCCGUG